GACGAACCGAGCGAACGUUAUUCGGAAUCACUGGGCUUAAAGGGCGCGUAGGCGGGCCAUCAAGUCAGGGGUGAAAUCCCCCGGCUCAACCGGGGAAGGGGCGCGAAUACGGCCGGCCUGGAGGGGGGUAGGGGGCGCCGGAACUCACGGUGGAGCGGUGAAAUGCGUUGAGAUCGUGAGGAACGCCCGUGGCGAAAGCGGGCGCCUGGACCCCACCUGACGCUGAGACGCGAAAGCCAGGGGAGCGAACGGG
rnacentral:rRNA from 1 species